UUCAUUUUUUUAUUGCUACUUGUUUUAAAUCCUCUUCUUAAUUGAUUUUUUUUUUUAAUUUCAUUCCUCAACAUUUGGUUUUAUUUUUUGUCAAAUAUAGUUCUCAUUCUUUUGAUUAAUAUUUUUUUUGUUUUAGAUUUUUUUAUUGAUUUUUUUCUCAAUUUCAUCCCUCAGUAUUUGGUUGAUUAAGAUUUUGCAUUUGCAAUUUUUUUUAAGUUUGCCUUCUACGAGAUAAUAUCAACUUUAUGAAUCAGAUCACGAUCUAGAA
rnacentral:lncRNA from 1 species